rnacentral:rRNA from 1 species
GACGAACGCUGGCGGCGUGCUUAACACAUGCAAGUCGAACGGAAAGGCCCCUUUGGGGGUACUCGAGUGGCGAACGGGUGAGUAACACGUGAGUAACCUGCCCUUGACUUCGGGAUAACUUCAGGAAACUGGGGCUAAUACCGGAUAGGAAUCCUUGCUGCAUGGUGGGGGUUGGAAAGCUUCGGCGGUUUUGGAUGGACUCGCGGCUUAUCAGCUUGUUGGUGGGGUAGUGGCUUACCAAGGCUUUGACGGGUAGCCGGCCUGAGAGGGCGACCGGCCACAUUGGGACUGAGAUACGGCCCAGACACCUACGGGAGGCAGCAGUGGGGAAGAUUGAACAAUGGGCGGAAGCCUGAUGCAGCAACGCCGCGUGCGGGAUGACGGCCUUCGGGUUGUAAACCGCUUUCAGCAGGGGCGAAGCUUGUGGUGACGGUACCUGCAGAAGAAGCACCGGCUAACUACGUG